rnacentral:lncRNA from 1 species
UGAUUUCAAUUUAUAUACAAAUAUGUUGGGCAUUAAAUUUAACAGAUUACACAUAUAAUUAUCAUUAUUAUAGAGUUGGUAUUGGUGCCAAACUUUCUUUUUUAUUUCUGUAUACAAGUAAAAGCCCAAUUCAAAAGUUUUACUAAGUUACACAUGUUUUGACAAUUCCUUUUACUUGUUUGCUAUUUGAUUUCCAAUAAAGGUUGUAGCACUUAAUAAAUCUGGUUGACAUGCACACAUAUAGUUUAUACAAAAACACCAGUAGGGUGGUUGACAAAUCUCUUGAGAACAUGUUGGAUUAUUUUCAAUACAAUCUCUUACUGUUUUGCAUCCAAAACCAACUAUUGGGCCUCUUGCUCUUGCCCCAACCUGCAAACCUGAAGCAUUUGCCAAAUCUCACAUUUAGUUAAAGCUUAUAUAAUAAUAUUUUAAAAACAAGCAAUCAUACAGAAAAGGAAGAUUAACGAACCAGAGACAAUCAGUAGGAAAAUUGCAAUGGAAGCAAACUUGAAUGCAAACAUCUUCAUGAAGGAUGCGUUAACUUUCUAUCUUUGU